UGGGGAAUUUUGGACAAUGGGCGAAAGCCUGAUCCAGCAAUGCCGCGUGUGUGAAGAAGGCCUUCGGGUUGUAAAGCACUUUUGUCCGGAAAGAAAUCCUUGGCUCUAAUACAGUCGGGGGAUGACGGUACCGGAAGAAUAAGCACCGGCUAACUACGUGCCAGCAGCCGCGGUAAUACGUAGGGUGCAAGCGUUAAUCGGAAUUACUGGGCGUAAAGCGUGCGCAGGCGGUUUGCUAAGACCGAUGUGAAAUCCCCGGGCUCAACCUGGGAACUGCAUUGGUGACUGGCAGGCUAGAGUAUGGCAGAGGGGGGUAGAAUUCCACGUGUAGCAGUGAAAUGCGUAGAGAUGUGGAGGAAUACCGAUGGCGAAGGCAGCCCCCUGGGCCAAUACUGACGCUCAUGCACGAAAGCGUGGGGAGCAAACAGGAUUAGAUACCCUGGUAGUCCACGCCCUAAACGAUGUCAACUAGUUGUUGGGGAUUCAUUUCCUUAGUAACGUAGCUAACGCGUGAAGUUGACCGCCUGGGGAGUACGGUCGCAAGAUUAAAGCUUAAAUGAAUUGACGGGGUCAUAGCUGUUUCCU
rnacentral:rRNA from 1 species